rnacentral:lncRNA from 1 species
UUAUGGUAAUAAGACCUCCACGCAGUUCCUAAACUUUACCCCAACACUAAUCUGUUCAGACGACCUUCAGCCUAACCUGAACCUGCAGACCAAGCCCGUGGACCCGACCGUGGAGGGGGGCGCGCAGGUGCAGCAGGUGGUCAACAUAGAGUGCGUGUCCGACUUCACGGAGGCGCCAGUCCUCAACAUUCAGUUCAGGUAAGAGCCGCCUGUGCGCCCCGGGCCAAGGGGUGUGUGGGCGCCUGAGCUGUGUGCCUGGGCUCCAUGACUGUGCCUCCGUGUCCUUCCUGAGGGGACCCGGGGCGUGCGGGUGCUCACGGUGCAUGGAUGCGGCCUGAGCUAUUGCUGCCCCCGGCUCUGCAGAGCGCAGGAAACAAGGGGAGGCGGAGCCCUGGGCUCCGGGACGGCAGGUGGCAGCUCCCACAUGGGGCCUUGCUAGGAUCUUUCUGGGCACCAUGGGGCCCACCUCAUGGGGUGGCAGACAGCCAGGGCCCCCGCGCCACCUGCCCGGCUUGGUACCAGACGACAGCUGUGGGGUGCAGGCAGCUGGUUUCCUUCGGCCCCCUGGCCUGGGGGGCGCGUUUUUUGCUCAGUUGAGCUCAGAUCGUACCACUUUGCUUAUUUUUUAAAAGCAUAGGAUUUUCCUGUUGCGACUGUUCAUUACUCUCACUUUUCAGUGACUACAAAUAGCGUGGAUACAGUCAGCCCGUCCCCUGCUGGGUGUCUGCAAGGUUAGGAAUGUUGAGAAAAGCACACUUUCUAACAUUAAAAAGACAGAGAACUUAAGAUUGUAUACUGUAGAAUUCGGGGACAUAGACAUGCAAGUUUUUGUUUCAUUCUUUGUGCAAAUGCCUUUGCCUUUUUAAAGAAAAAACAUCACACUAUUUGCACAGACUUGGAGUUCUGGGAAACAGAUGAAUGGGGAGAAGUGAGGCACAGGGACGUCCUGCCUGAGUAUGCGGCCCUGGCCUGUCCUCCUGUCUGUGGGUGACACUGGACACUGAGCCACACACGAUCCGUGGGGACUGAAGGCUCGGCCCCCCGACCCGCUCUGGUGGGUGGCAGUAGAUCGGGACGCUUCUCACUCCAGGCUCUUUCCCGGUCCCUGGGGCUCUCAGAGGAGUAGCUGACUGUCUCUUUCUGCUGCUGCUGCUGCUGGCAGGUAUGGGGGCACCUUCCAGAACGUGUCUGUGCAGCUGCCCAUCACUCUCAACAAAUUCUUCCAGCCGACAGAAAUGGCUUCUCAGGAUUUCUUUCAACGUUGGAAGCAGUUGAGCAAUCCACAGCAGGAAGUGCAGAACAUCUUCAAAGCAAAGCACCCAAUGGACACAGAAGUCACCAAAGCCAAGAUCAUUGGAUUUGGUUCUGCACUUCUUGAAGAAGUUGAUCCUAAUCCUGCGAAUUUCGUGGGAGCUGGAAUCAUCCACACGAAAACCACCCAGAUUGGAUGCCUGCUGCGCUUGGAGCCGAACCUGCAAGCCCAGGUCAGGCCCUCAGGAAAUGGUGGAACACACUUGAGUUGCUUUUUAUUCUGGCACAAUGUACGUGGUGAGAUGUGUAGCUCUUUAGUGCAGUUCAGUCAGUUUUGACAGAUGUUGUUUAACCACCACCCUGUCAAUACAUGGUUGCCUCCCAGCCUCCCCGCAGCUGGCCACCGUGGAGCAUCAUCCCUAGUGCAGUUCAGUCAGUUGUGACAGAUGUUGUGUGCCUGUUUAACCACCACCCUGUCAAUACAUGGUUGCAUCCCAGCCUCCCCACAGCUGGCCACCGUGGAGCAUCGUCCCACCAUGGAGCAGCCUGGCCCUGGGCGGUGGCUCUCCCAGCUGUUCCUCUCUGUCACCGCGUUGUUCCUUCUCACCACGUCCCGUUCUGGCGACGGACACCUGUCUCCGUUUCACUUGGGU